GGAGUUUGGACCGUGUCUCAGUUCCAAUGUGGGGGACCUUCCUCUCAGAACCCCUACUGAUCGUCGGCCAGGUGGGCCGUUACCCCGCCUGCAACCUAAUCAGACGCAUCCCCAUCCCAUAGCGAUGAAUCUUUCGUCCAGGUCAGAUGUCCUCUCUGGACAGCAUAGGGAAUUAAUCCGACUUUCGCCGGGCUGUGCCCUACUAUGGGGAAGGUUGGAUACGCGUUACUCACCCGUGCGCCGGUCGCCAUCUGGAAUAGCAAGCUAUCCCAAUGCUGCCCCUCGACUUGCAUGUGUUAAGCCUGUAGCUAGCGUUCAUC
rnacentral:rRNA from 1 species